GUUUUUAUAAUUUAAUUAAAAUAUUGAUCUUGUAAAUCAGAUAUGAGAUAACCUCUAAAAACA
rnacentral:tRNA from 1 species